rnacentral:lncRNA from 1 species
GGCACACCUGGAACUAUGGGUGGCAAAGGAUCAACAGGAAGACGAGGGAUGAAUGGACAGAAAGUGCGUUGCCUUUGUUAGAAAUUUGUUAUUCUUCAAUAACACAAACUCCAAAGCAAAUCAGGGGGAGAAAAAUAGGUUUAUUUGAGAAGGAUAAAUCAAGAUGUUAUGCUGGGAGGUAGAUGUUCAGAUGUUCAGUCUCCCCUGUCCUCAGCUUUUCCCCACUGAACAAAGGAACAGGAUUCAAUUUAUAACCCCCCAUCCUAGCCUAGGGUUGACCAUCAGAAGUCCUUGCAAUACAACUUGGCCAAUGGCCAAAUAACCAGUAUCCUGCCCCAGACGCCAUGUACAGAACGUAGCACACGUCACUGAGUUCACCAGUGACAUUCCACAGAUUCUAAACAGAUGUUGAACUGAAACACAACUCCUAUUUAUAAUUCCCUAUUGACCAUUAGGAUUUUUAGUACUCUCGUCCUCUCAAACCCUCAAACUCUGCAUUGUGUAUUUAUCUUCAAAAUAUUCUUAUACCUUUGACCUACAGUUAUAUAAUACAUUACAAUACAAAACAUUAGCCAUCUUGGUAGGACAAUUUACCAGGACUGCAGAGCAGCUGAAACAUAUUACAUAUAGACACAUAAAAUGUAUACAUAAAAAUAUGCUUAUAAAAUAAUGUUUUAUAGCCAUUCUUCCAACCCAAUACUGUGUGGUCUCCUCACAGGGCCAACCUGGGGACCCCGGAGUCAACGGAGCCCUUGGAACACUUGGGCCAAGAGGGAUGCCGGGUCUUGAUGGUAGUGACGGCUAUGGACCUCCUGGACCCCAGGGAAUGAAGGGAGAGCCUGGUUUCCAUGGUUACCCUGGAUUACAGGGUGAAAGUGGUGAUUUUGGAGUCAAAGGAGGUCCAGGCCCCAAAGGAAACCGAGGCAGAGGGGGGAACUCGGGCAGGUCGGGUGAGUCAGGAGAUCCAGGAUCCAUUGGACCACCGGGACACACUGUUAGUAUAUCAUUUGCGUUUUUGGAUCUUUAAAAGGAACUUUACAAAUCCCAUGUAUUAGUUGUUUUAUUAUUGUUAUUUGUUUCAAGUGAAUAACAAUAGUAGUUGUAGUAUUGGUUGUUUUUACAGUAGAAGUAUUGGUAAGAUAUUCACUGUUUACAUGUGGAUUUAUGACUAAUUCUCUAUUCCUAUCUAGGGCUCUAGAGGCAGACCAGGAGAGAGAGCCAUGUCUGUAUGUGUAUUCUGUCUGAUCUUUGUUCCAAUUUAAGUAUAAAACAUUUUACAUAGAGAAUCUUGAGAGCUAUUUAACAUGUUAUUUGAUUUGUCUCCCUAGGAAUGCCAGCUGACCACCUAUAUCCGUGAUAACUGUGGUAAGCUCUUGGUAUUCCUACUCUAUAUCCGUGAUAACUGUGGUAAGCUCUUGGUAUUCCUACUCUAUAUCCGUGAUAACUGUGGUAAGCUCUUGGUAUUCCUACUCUAUAUCCGUGAUAACUGUGGUAAGCUCUUGGUAUUCCUACUCUAUAUCCGUGAUAACUGUGGUAAGCUCUUGGUAUUCCUACUCUAUAUCCGUGAUAACUGUGGUAAGCUCUUGGUAUUCCUACUCUAUAUCCGUGAUAACUGUGGUAAGCUCUUGGUAUUCCUACUCUAUAUCCGUGAUAACUGUGGUAAGCUCUUGGUAUUCCUACUCUAUAUCCGUGAUAACUGUGGUAAGCUCUUGGUAUUCCUACUCUAGAUUUUUGUAAGAAAAAGAUCCGCUGUGUCAAUUGCUUUAUUGCUGGUAAGGUCAUGUUUUCAUAAGCAAAGAUUAAUUCAUUCCUAAUUUUGUCUCUAAACGAUGAUAUUUUUCUCCCCCAAACAGCAUGCUCUCAAGGUAUGUCUCCAUUAACCCUUCCUCGUCCAAAUAAAUGUAUGUACUUGACUGUAGAUUCUGGUGUAAUCAAACCAGAACUC